GACGAACGCUGGCGGCGUGCUUAACACAUGCAAGUCGAACGGAAAGGCCCUGCUUUUGUGGGGUGCUCGAGUGGCGAACGGGUGAGUAACACGUGAGUAACCUGCCCUUGACUUUGGGAUAACUUCAGGAAACUGGGGCUAAUACCGGAUAGGAGCUCCUGCUGCAUGGUGGGGGUUGGAAAGUUUCGGCGGUUGGGGAUGGACUCGCGGCUUCUCCGCUUGUUGGUGGGGUAGUGGCUUACCAAGGCUUUGACGGGUAGCCGGCCUGAGAGGGUGACCGGCCACAUUGGGACUGAGAUACGGCCCAGACUCCUACGGGAGGCAGCAGUGGGGAAUAUUGCACAAUGGGCGGAAGCCUGAUGCAGCAACGCCGCGUGCGGGAUGACGGCCUUCGGGUUGUAAACCGCUUUCGCCUGUGACGAAGCGUGAGUGACGGUAAUGGGUAAAGAAGCACCGGCUAACUACGUG
rnacentral:rRNA from 1 species